rnacentral:rRNA from 1 species
UGGGGAAUUUUCCGCAAUGGGCGAAAGCCUGACGGAGCAAUACCGCGUGAGGGAGGAAGGCUCUUGGGUUGUAAACCUCUUUUCUUAGGGAAGAACAAAAUGACGGUACCUAAGGAAUCAGCAUCGGCUAACUCCGUGCCAGCAGCCGCGGUAAUACGGAGGAUGCAAGCGUUAUCCGGAAUGAUUGGGCGUAAAGCGUCCGCAGGUGGCAAUUCAAGUCUGCGGUUAAAGGUCGAGGCUCAACCUCGAAAAGGCCGUGGAAACUGAGUAGCUAGAGUGUGGUAGGGGCAGAGGGAAUUCCCAGUGUAGCGGUGAAAUGCGUAGAGAUUGGGAAGAACACCGGUGGCGAAAGCGCUCUGCUAGGCCAAGACUGACACUGAGGGACGAAAGCUAGGGGAGC